rnacentral:rRNA from 1 species
UAGGGAAUCUUCCACAAUGGACGCAAGUCUGAUGGAGCAACGCCGCGUGAGUGAAGAAGGCUUUCGGGUCGUAAAACUCUGUUAUUGAAGAAGAACGUGUGUGACAGUAACUGGUCAUGCAGUGACGGUAUUCAAUCAGAAAGUCACGGCUAACUACGUGCCAGCAGCCGCGGUAAUACGUAGGUGGCAAGCGUUGUCCGGAUUUAUUGGGCGUAAAGCGAGUGCAGGCGGUCUUUUAAGUCUGAUGUG